AUGGGGUGACUGCGUACCUUUUGUAUAAUGGGUCAGCGACUUAUAUUCUGUAGCAAGGUUAACCGUAUAGGGGAGCCGUAGGGAAACCGAGUCUUAACUGGGCGAAUGAGUUGCAGGGUAUAGACCCGAAACCCGGUGAUCUAUCCAUGGGCAGGUUGAAGGUUGGGUAACACUAACUGGAGGACCGAACCGACUAAUGUUGAAAAAUUAGCGGAUGACUUGUGGAUGGGGGUGAAAGGCCAAUCAAACCGGGAGAUAGCUGGUUCUCCCCGAAAGCUAUUUAGGUAGCGCCUCGUGAACUCAUCUUCGGGGGUAGAGCACUGUUUCGACUAGGGGGUCAUCCCGACUUACCAACUCGAUGCAAACUGCGAAUACCGAAGAAUGUUAUCACGGGAGACACACGGCGGGUGCUAACGUCCGUCGUGAAGAGGGAAACAACCCAGACCGCCAGCUAAGGUCCCAAAGUCAUGGUUAAGUGGGAAACGAAGUGGGAAGGCUCAGACAGCCAGGAUGUUGGCUUAGAAGCAGCCAUCAUUUAAAGAAAGCGUAAUAGCUCACUGGUCGAGUCGGCCCGCGCGGAAGAUGUAACGGGGCUAAACCAUGCACCGAAGCUGCGGCAGCGACACAAAGUGUUGUUGGGUAGGGGAGCGUUCUGUAAGCCUGCGAAGGUGUACUGUGAGGUAUGCUGGAGGUAUCAGAAGUGCGAAUGCUGACAUAAGUAACGAUAAUGCGGGUGAAAAACCCGCACGCCGGAAGACCAAGGGUUCCUGUCCAACGUUAAUCGGGGCAGGGUGAGUCGACCCCUAAGGCGAGGCUGAAAAGCGUAGUCGAUGGGAAACGGGUUAAUAUUCCCGUACUGGUGGUAACUGCGAUGGGGGAACGGAGAAGGCUAGGUUGUCCGGGCGACGGUCGUCCCGGUUCAAGCAGGUAGGCAGAGUGAUUAGGCAAAUCCGGUCACUUAAUGCUGAGAUGUGAUGACGAACCACCAAGGUGGUGAAGCAAUUGAUGCCCCGCUUCCAGGAAAAGCCUCUAAGCUUCAGGUUACCAACAAUCGUACCCCAAACCGACACAGGUGGUCAGGUAGAGAAUACUCAGGCGCUUGAGAGAACUCGGGUGAAGGAACUAGGCAAAAUGGUGCCGUAACUUCGGGAGAAGGCACGCUGGCGGUAGGUAAAGUCCCUCGCGGACGGCGCUGAAGCCAGUCGAAGAUACCAGCUGGCUGCAACUGUUUAUUAAAAACACAGCACUGUGCAAACACGAAAGUGGACGUAUACGGUGUGACGCCUGCCCGGUGCUGGAAGGUUAAUUGAUGGGGUCAGCCG
rnacentral:rRNA from 1 species